rnacentral:rRNA from 1 species
AUUGAACGCUGGCGGCAGGCUUAACACAUGCAAGUCGAACGAUCCUUCGGGAUAGUGGCGGACGGGUGAGUAACACGUGGGAACGUGCCCUUUGGUUCGGAACAACUCAGGGAAGCUUGAGCUAAUACCGAAUGUGCCCUUCGGGGGAAAGAUUUAUCGCCAUUGGAGCGGCCCGCGUCUGAUUAGCUAGUUGGUGAGGUAAAGGCUCACCAAGGCUACGAUCAGUAGCUGGUCUGAGAGGGUGAUCAGCCACAUUGGGACUGAGACACGGCCCAAACUCCUACGGGAGGCAGCAGUGGGGAAUCUUGCGCAAUGGGCGAAAGCCUGACGCAGCCAUGCCGCGUGAAUGAUGAAGGUCUUAGGAUUGUAAAAUUCUUUCACCGGGGACGAUAAUGACGGUACCCGGAGAAGAAGCCCCGGCUAACUUCGUGCCAGCCGCCGCAGUAAGAC